AUCCGCAAGAGGAACACAUUAUAUUCAGCAAAUUAAGGAGCUGUAACCCCACAUUUUCAUAGGACAAGUUAAUUAUAUGACAAAAAGCCUGGCUGCUGCAAUUUUUGCCUAAGAAUAAUUGGAUCUAAUUGAAUGUGCAGUUUGUGUAAAGCUGCAUGAGUCUAGCAGGUCAUGUGAGCUAUCAAUCAAUCAAUCUGUAGGACCAUUGCAUUAGUGGCCAACUCAUCCAUACAUUGCAUAUUAGCAUAUAAAAAGUGACAAUUUUGUCACUUCCUGUGGCUGCUGCUUUUGCUAUUAUAACUAUCAACAGAUUAAUACAGUCAGAUCAAAAACACUGAACUCAAAAGCUGCAAAGACAGUCAGCAGCAUCAGCAACAAAGGCAGACAUAAAAAGCUUGCUAGCUGCAUCCGUGGAUUCAAUUCAACUUAAAAGCUCCAAAGUUUGAGGUAGCUUUUGGAGUUUGGAUCAAAACAAAGUUCCUUCAUGCGCCUCAGAAUCCACUAUCUGCAGAUUAAUGGCAACAGAAGCUGAUACUCCAGAAGCUAUAUCUGUCACGGACCAAGCGGCAGCUUUAGACUAGGCAACAUAUCUCCAAUUGGCUCCCUUGGCGCAUCAAUAUGAGAUUGCACAACUGGAGAGAAACAAGUGCGCAUCAUGUCAAAGGAACCCCUAUUUGUUGCACUUGCACUGGGAGAUGACUGAGGAGUUGGACAAGUUACACUGUUCCCGUACAAGAGCUGUUGUUCCUCACGAAUUGUCAAAACUCCAUUAUCAUUCCUUGCAACAUGUUUUACUGCCAAUUCUGUUUCCAAAAAACCUUUGCUUGUAUCCACAGAGUCCAUAUAAGCAUAAGUACCAUCAAACUCCAACAAAAUCUAAUUCAAAUCAAACAAGUCAACAGAACCCAAAUUUGUGUC